rnacentral:rRNA from 1 species
AAUUGAGACAGGUGGUGCAUGGUUGUCGUCAGCUCGUGUCGUGAGAUGUUGGGUUAAGUCCCGUAACGAGCGCAACCUUGUGUUUAGUUGCAAACAGGUCAAGCUGUGCACUCUAGACAGACUGCCGUGGACAACACGGAGGAAGGUGGGGAUGACGUCAAAUCAUCAUGCCCCUUAUGAUCUGGGCUACACACGUGCUACAAUGGCCGGUACAACGGGCAGCGAAGGAGCGAUCCGGAGCGAAUCCUAAAAAGCCGGUCCCAGUUCGGAUUGCAGGCUGAAACUCGCCUACAUGAAGUUGGAGUUGCUAGUAAUCGCGAAUCAGAAUGUCGCGGUGAAUACGUUCCCGGGUCUU